rnacentral:lncRNA from 1 species
CAUGGGCCGCUACAGCUUCAACAACCGAUUGUUCUUGCCGAUGUGCGCUCAUCCAAAGAUCGAUCCAAUCUCUGGCGAGCUCUUCGCGGUUAGCUUCAAUCCAGUGAUCAAUCCCCACCUCCGCUACUUCUGGGCGAGCCCGGACGGGAGGAAGAGCCCCGAUUUCGACGUGUGGCUGCCGGACCCGUGCUUACUUCGCGAUAACAGAGAACUACGCAGAGAAUCAGCUCGUGAUGAAGUUCCAGGAUGUAUUGCUCAAGAACAACCUGGUCAUUGAUGGAGAUACCGCCAAGGUUCCCAGAUUCGGGGUCAUCCCUCGCAUCCCGACUGUGGGAUCUCCCGGCAUUCGCUGGAUCGACAUCCCGGAUUGGACAUCAUUCCACUACAUCAACGCCUGGGAGGAAGGGACGGACAAGAUUGUCGUGCUCAGCUCGUCCAUUACGCCGGUGGAACAUCUGUUUGACGAUAUAUCAACGGAUUGUCCAACAGAUUGAACGAGAUCCACCUGGACCUUCGAUCUGGACGGUCGUGGAAGCAACACGUGUGCUCAGCCAGACUGGAUUUUGGACAGAUCAACCAGAAAUUCUUGGGGCGGAAGAAUUGGUACGUCCAUAUGUGCUACUAUGGGCCAUGGCCCAAAUUCUCGGGCCUGGCCAAGGUCGAUCUGGACGCUCCACGAGUGUGGUAAUUGACGGAACAAGUGACCCGGACCUCAACAAGCCGUGCAUUGUGGCGUCGAGGAGAUUCGAACGAGGUCAGUUUUGUGGCCAGCCUUUCUUUGUGACGAAUGGCGAGGAGGAAGACAAUGGAUACGUCUUAAGCUACGUCCACAAUGAGGAAAGUGGUGUCUCAGAGCUUUUUGGUCAUGGAUGCCAAAUCGCCAACUCUUGAGACAGUGGCUUCUAUAGAGUUGCCUGCUAGAGUUCCAUAUGGAUUCCAUGGGAUCUUUAUAAAUUCCGAUCAAAUAGCCAACCAGAACCAUGCCACCUUGUAAGAAAAUUUGUAAAUUGAUAUAUCUCUUGUAAAUAUCUAAUCCAUGUAACUAUGUGAGGAUUCGCAAUAAGAACAUAUGGAGCACUGUUACUUGGCUCCACACUAUGGUAUCACCCUGUGAUCUGGCAUUUUUUAAAAAUUCACAGCGUUUUCUCUAACCUUUGGUUGUUUACAUGCUGCCAGCAUGGUAGUCCACACACACCUUUGAUUCUUUAACUUUUCCAGAUGCCCUUUCCUGGCAUUAGAGCAAACCAGGGCAGCAUUACAUUGCAAGAAAAAGCGUCUGCAUUAAGAAAUUUUCUCAGCAAUUCUACUGUUGUUGCUCCAUGGACUCACUUUCCACCACGCCAAGCAUACAAGCACUUCUGAGGGAGCCCAAGAAAAUUCUCUUUGCCUUUUGCAAAUGCAGACUUUGGCAUAGAUACAAGACCCCCCUACUUGGCACAUUUGAUAGAAUCGUGCUCCAAGAGAUUAAGCUCCUUUCUGGCAUUACUUUAUCCAAAUGCCUGUUACUGGCAUAAUCAGGAACGUCGUCUGCUUGUUGGAGGAAUCCAUACCAAGAGAAGGCAGUGAUCAUGAUCGUCCCACUCGGGCAUUCAAUCAACCAGCUGCUUGGCCUGGUCAAGAGAUGUGAAGGUGAAGAGCAUGGCAUUCAACGAGAAUCAAUUCCUCAAUCUCAUGCCAUCUAUGCACCUUAUAUACACUGCACCACCAAAUUGGACGUCAGAUAAUUUCAUGCCGCAAGGAGGUGCUUGAUAUAUUUGUGGCUGGAGCAUCCCGUUAAACACCAUCUUGUUUUAGUCUCUGAUGUGAACUAUAGCAAAACUUUUUCACUAAUUGUCAAAAUAGCUAGUGUAUCUGGUCAAAGACCUAUCAAUGGUCAAGUGCGUCAAACGGUCAAUCAAUUAUUUUGGAAUCUUGACUGUGAGUCUUUCUCGGCACACUCCCAUUCGAUUACAUUCUUUCUUGUUCUUGGUGGAGACGUCCAACACUUCAGAAGUGCGACACGGUGGAGAAUUUCAUCUCCACGUACAUUGAUCUUCGCGAGUUUCCUCCCUCGCAAGACCCCAAGAUCCAGCUCGCGGAUAAUUUCGCGCCUGUUGGAGAGAUCCCGCCAACGCCGUGCCGCCGAGUCACUGGCGAGAUCCCUCGCUGCCUCCGCGGCGGUGCUUACAUCCGCAAUGGCUCCAAUCCACUCCAUCCCCCUCCCGCCGGCUACAACUACUUCGACGGCCACGGGAUGCUCCACUCUGUCAAGUUCGGCGAUGAAGAAGAUCAAGCUCCAGUCUACUGCGCGCGAUUCACCCAGAACAAUCGAUUCGUCCAGGAGCAAGCAGCGGGCAAGCCUCUCUUCCCCUACACGCUGGGCACCAUGAGCAGCUAUGCCGGGCUCGCACGAUUCGGGCUAUUCGUGAUGCGCACGGCUCUGGGCCUGAUCAAUAUCUUGGGCGGGAUGGGAACCUCCAACGCUGGGAUGGCCUACUUCGAUCGCCGAAUCCUGGCCAUGUCCGAGGAUGAUAUGCCAUAUGCCGUGAGUAUCACCCCAGCAGGGGAUUUGAUCACCAUGGGCCGCUACAGCUUCAACAACCGAUUGUUCUUGCCGAUGUGCGCUCAUCCAAAGAUCGAUCCAAUCUCUGGCGAGCUCUUCGCGAUUAGCUUCAAUCCAGUGAUCAAUCCCCACCUCCGCUACUUCUGGGCGAGCCCGAACGGGAGGAAGAGCCCCGAUUUCGACGUGUGGCUGCCGGACCCGUGCUUGUUUCACGACUUCGCGAUAACAGAGAACUACGCAAUCCUGCCAGAGAAUCAGCUCGUGAUGAAGUUCCAGGAUGUAUUGCUCAAGAACAAACUGGUCAUUGAUGGAGAUACCACCAAAGUUCCUAGAUUCGGGGUGAUCCCUCGCAUCCCAACUGUGGGAUCUUCCGGCAUUCGCUGGAUCGACGUCCCGGAUUGGACGUCAUUCCACUACAUCAACGCCUGGGAGGAAGGGAUGGACAAGAUCGUCGUGCUGAGCUCGUCCAUUACGCCAGUAAAACAUUUCUUUGACGAUUUCGCCAGAUUGUCCAACAGAUUGCACGAGAUCCACCUGGACCUUCGAUCUGGACGGUCAUGGAAGCAACACGUGUGCUCAGCCGGACUGGAUUUUGGACAGAUCAACCAGAAGUUCCUGGGGCGGAAGAAUCGGUACGUCUACAUGUGCUACUAUGGGCCAUGGCCCAAAAUCUCCGGCCUGGCCAAGGUCGAUCUGGACGCUCCACGGCUGCCCAGGGUGGUCAUCGACGGAACGAGUGACCUGGACCUUAAUGAGCCGUGCAUUGUAGCAUCAAGGAGAUUCGAACGAGGUCAGUUUUGUGGCGAGCCUUUCUUUGUGGCAAAUGGCGAGGAGGAAGAUGAUGGAUACGUUUUAAGCUAUGUCCAUGAUGAGGAAAGUGGUGUCUCGGAGCUUUUGGUCAUGGAUGCCAAAUCACCCACACUUGAGACAGUGGCUUCUAUAGAGUUGCCUGCUAGAGUUCCAUAUGGAUUCCAUGGGAUCUUUAUAAAUUCUGAUCAAAUAGCCAACCAGAACUAUGCCACUUUAUAAGAAAGUUUGAUAUAGUUGUAAAAUCUCUUGUAAAUAUCUAACCUAUGUAACUAUGUGAGAAUUGGCAAUAAGAACAUAUGAAGCACUGUUACUAGGCUCCAUACUAAUGGCAAUUUUCAUUGCAUCUCCACUUGCUGCAGCUCCAAGCACUUCCAAUCCAUGGAAUCCAGGUACACUACUCGUGUAUGAUUAGUCAGGGUAUAUCCAAAACACUGAGAAUCUUCUGUGGGAGAUGCCAUAUUAGCUUUAAGGGUUUGAUGGAGUGAUCAAACUAGAAAGACACAAAGAGAUGCUAAGCUAUAGCAUCAGUGCCUUUGUGGACACACAAAGUGAGUAAAGUUGUUAAGUUAGCUUCAUCAAGUGUAUUAAUCCUUCCAAUCGAAAUAUGGAUUGGAUGAUCUCACCUUCGCAAUAAUAUUUUAGGGCUGAGGCAGUACAGUGGAGAAAUUGAGUACAAAAAAGUUGCAAUGCUGACAAAAUAUAUGAACACUCAGAGGACCAAUAAUUGUGUGUCCAUAUAUGCUUGAAAUGCUUUUGCAUUCUGUUUUUAGUCCACUCCUUGUCUAAGGACCAUUGAAAAGAAUGUCAUCACUUUAUAUUCAAAUAUUUACACAUUUGAUGAUUUUAGAAUAUAUCUAUAAGAAUAUACUUAAUAUAUACCUAUUGAGGAUAUCCUCCCACUUCAUUUUUACCCUCAAACCUUCUUAACUCUAAAAUGAAGCAAUAAAGCUUGAAGAAGAGAUUGAGGAAUAAAUAAAAAUAAUGAAUAGUGAAUUUUGAAAAAAAAUUGACAUAUAGAUAUAAAUAGAGUAGAGAAUGUUAUUUUGAUGAAGGAACUCUUCACAAAAAUCUUGGUUAUUUCAGUAAGCAUGGUUUUUUAUAAAUGAUGAUUUUCCUAGCAAAAUGUGAUGGAGAAUCAUAUUCAAAAUUGACUUAACCUUAAGAUAUUGGAUGUGUAUAUGUUUUACUUACUAAAGGGCUUAUAAUGCCUUUUUUUUUUAUUAGUCAUAUAUUAGGUGUAGUUUCAAGUCCAAAGUCACAACAUUAUAGGAUAAAGGCAAAAUAACAAGUUUAUUUUUAUCAUAAUGUCAUUUAACAUUUAUAUUAAUAUUUUAGUGGAUAAAUGUAAAAACAAAUAAAACUUCUCUGUAUAAAACACCUUUAGAUGAUGCAAUAUAAAUCCUUGCAUAGAUAAGAAAGUACUCCCUACAUAAAAUAUCAACUAGCUUAGGCAAAUGACCUUAAUAAAAUAACAUAAAUUGAUUUUUUUUUUUUGUUAUUUUGACUAUGACUAGCAAAUUUUGACUUUUUUGCCUAACCAUUAACACCUAUUAUGAAAAUCAUGCUAUUUCAAUAUAUUAUGCCUAAUGUAUUGAGAGAGAUAGAGAGAGAGAGAAAUGAAGUAUAACCUAAAUGCCUAAGCAAGAACCUUCAUCCACAACACCCAUUGUCAUAUACAUGCAAUCACGUGGCUUUCAAAUUAUGUUAAAGUCAUUCAUCAAACAAGGUAGCCAAUUUGAUUAAGAUCAAAGCUAUAUAAAUUUCUUCCUAAACAUCAAUGGUAUAAGUGCUAAUUCCAUAAAGUUUUUGUAUAUAUGCCAUUUGUCCAAGAAAAAAUUUCACAGAUCUCAAAAGAAAAAUUAAGGUGUAUUCUUUGUUCUAACAUCCCUUUGUUAAAUAAGUAUUGUUCAAGUAUUUUUGUGUUGCUUGAUGCAUCAAACCUAGUGAUAAUAAGUAGCAUAUAGGCUUUGGAAUCCAGGCUGUGAGAGCUGGUGAUGGCAUUCUCUUUCCUGGGACAUUAUCUAAUGGUUUAUUUUUUUAUCAAGGUUUAGGAAUUAUCUCUGAAUUAUUCAAAAGUUAUUUAGGAAUAAUCUUCUAGUUUGAGUGUUUGAAGUUAAAUCUAGGGUUUAGGGUAGACACCAUUAAAUGUCAAGCAAUAUAAUGUUCUCUAGAUUGAUCAAUUUUGGGAAAUCUUGUAGCUUUGGCAUUUCCAACUAUUACUGGGGAUAGAGUGUAGAUUUGCAAAGACUUUUGUUUGCCAAGGUGCACCAUUGCUCUAGAGUGUGUUAUCAUAGCACUAGUUCUAGAUUGCAUCACAAGACAUAAGCACUAAGAAUAUAGCUUAGAUUAAUGCUUGCUAGGGUUAGAAUUUUUUAGAGAGUUUAAAAAUUUAUGGAAGAAAGUGGUGUUAUUACUUUGUCUUGUGCUUGUAGUUUUCCCUCAUCUUUUGAGGUUUAAAACAUUUUUCUAUUUUCUUUACCCCCUAUUCUCAAGUAGGAAACAUAUGCAUAAAGAUGCUAUGAAGGUCAUUAACAAUUAAGUUUAAAAUCCAUCAUGUUCAUAGGUGGAAAUGCAUUUGACAAGGCUUGAGCAAAUAUGUCUGCACUCAACUUGUCUCAAAAACCAUACACAUAAGGUUUGAGAAAAGAAGAUCUCCAAAGUUGUUUAUUCAUAUAUCUCAAUUAGUUAUUGGAUCAGUGGCUUUUAUUAAAACCCCUAAUAAUACUUAAAUUUUAGAUUAUGCAACACCAAGAAUAUACUUUAAAAAAACAAUUAAACCUUUACUCUAAAGGUAUAUAAUAGAUUUUUUAACCCUUUAAGUGAUCCUACCCUAAAUAAAUGUGACCAUUUUAGACUAAUUUCUCUUUUGCAAACUAGGAUUUCUAUCAGUGACACCAAUGUAGUUGGCAUAUUUACUUUAAAAUUCACUCUGGGACCUUCAUCACUCACACAACACCAAAGCUAUAAGAUAGAUACUUCACUAAAAUUUUUAUAAUUAUCUCUCAAAAAGUUCAUAGGAUGGCUAUUCAAGAUGAGAGGUACUUUAGAAGAAGUUACCAAAUUUAUAACACUAUUGUUGACUCUAUAAUAUGAGUUUAAAUGAGAUUCACAACAUAGUUGCAACACUAGCUAACAAGAGCAUUGUCCAGGAUUGGGAGCACUAAUGAUUUAAAGUAGAAAUUAUAAGCCAAAAUUCCUAGAAUAAAAAAUAGAAAAUUUUUUAAAAUAAAUAAAAUUGGCAAAAAUACAUAUUAAGAAUAACUAGAAUUGUUAAUAAAAAUGACAAUGAAGACAAAAAAUCACUAAAACUUCACCAUGUACCAUAAUUCUAUCUAAUGAAAUUCAAAUCAUUCUUCCUAAAAUUUUAUAUAAAAUUUCUAACAGUGUAACUUUAUUUUAGAAUAAUGCUUAUAUAUAGUUUUUUCUCAAAAUCCCACAUAUAAUUGCAUACAUAAUCUUAAAUACCCAUUGUAGGAUUUUUAGUGUAACCCCCACUUUACUACACCUCAAUUAAUUGCCACAAGGUGAGGAUUAUAUUGAAAAAUGCAUUAGGAGGGGUAGUAGGCAGAUUAGUGAAGCCCAAGGUUAGAUUUUACAUGAAUAAUAGCCUAGAUUUCACGUGUGCUCAUCAAAAAUAGAAAUGGUUAACUUCAGUGAUCAAUCCCCACCUCCGUUACUUCUGGGCAAGCCCAGAUGGGAGGAAAGAGAUGAAUUUUUAAGAUGUAGUGCUCAAGAACAAACUGGUCAUUGAUGGAGAUACUACCCAAGGGUCCCAGAUUGAUCCUCCCUCGCAUCCCAGCUGUGGGAUCUUCCAGAUCGACGUUUGGAUGUAAUUCCACUACAUCCACACCUGGGAGGAAGGGAUGGACA